AAUAUUGGACAAUGGGGGCAACCCUGAUCCAGCCAUCCUGCGUGUGUGAAGAAGGUCUUCGGAUUGUAAAGCACCUUAAUUUGGGAGGAAGGGCUUUAGGUUAAUACCAUGAAGAUUUGACGUUACUAACACAAUAAGUACCCGCUAACUCUCUGCCAGCAGCCGCGGUAAUACAGAGGGUGCAAGCGUUAAUCGGAAUUACUGGGCGUAAAGCGCGCGUAGGUGGUUCAGUAAGAUGGGUGUGAAAUCCCCGGGCUUAACCUGGGAACUGCUUUCAUAACUGCUAAGCUAGAGUACGGUAGAGGGUAGUGGAAUUUCCUGUGUAGCGGUGAAAUGCGUAGAUAUAGGAAGGAACACCAGUGGCGAAGGCGACUACCUGGACUGAUACUGACACUGAGGUGCGAAAGCGUGGGGAGCAAAC
rnacentral:rRNA from 1 species